GACGGAGGGUGCAAGCGUUGUUCGGAAUUACUGGGCGUAAAGCGCGGGCAGGUGGCUUUUAAGUCCUUUGUGAAAUCCCGGGGCUCAACUCCGGAUGUGCAGAGGAUACUGGAGAGCUGGAGACUGGUAGAGGCGAGCGGAAUUCCUGGUGUAGCGGUGGAAUGCGUAGAUAUCAGGAAGAACACCGGUGGCGAAGGCGGCUCGCUGGGCCAGUUCUGACACUCAUCCGCGAAAGCGUGGGGAGCAAACAGG
rnacentral:rRNA from 1 species